GUCUUAUGCAAGUGCAAAAUUAUCAUUACACACACUUUCAUACCAAACACACUCCCAAGUUAAUGGCUACAUCACCAAAUUACAAGCAUUUACUUCUUCUUUUUCUGUUGCUUAGCUUCACCACCAUGGCAGCCAGAGCCAGAAGUUUGAGGGAGAUUAAGGAUGAUGCAGUUAAGAAGAGUCAAACUGGUUUGUUUAAGCCACGACAUGAAAGUGCAGAAGAAAGCAAUGAUGAGUUGGAUACAAUGGAUUACACACCUGCAAAAAGGAAUCCACCCAUUCAUAAUUGAAGUUUUCCAAUUUUUUUUCUUCAUUUUUUUGUUAGAAAUGGCAUCAAUAUCUCACAGUACUGCUUAGUUCAUUCAUCUGCAGUCCUAUAUUCUAGGGCCUUCAAUGUAUAGAUAUUGUUUGUACUUUGAAGCUAGGAAAUCCACACUUAAAUCAUGAACUUGUGUGUUCACAAAAUAUUUGAAGUUGAUUAGAAACAUGUUAGAAGAAGAAGGUUUGGUGAAUGAAAUAACGUUACUUAGAUAA